rnacentral:rRNA from 1 species
CGUACAGGUCUCCGUAGGUGAACCUGCGGAGGGAUCAUUACACAAUAACCAGGCGGGCUGGACACCCCCCGCUGGGCACUGCUUCACGGCGUGCGCGGCGGGGCCGGCCCUGCUGAAUUAUUCACCCGUGUCUUUUGCGUACUUCUUGUUUCCUGGGUGGGCUCGCCCGCCCUCAGGACCAACCACAAACCUUUUGCAAUAGCAAUCAGCGUCAGUAACAACGUAAUUAAUUACAACUUUCAACAACGGAUCUCUUGGUUCUGGCAUCGAUGAAGAACGCAGCGAAAUGCGAUAAGUAGUGUGAAUUGCAGAAUUCAGUGAAUCAUCGAAUCUUUGAACGCACAUUGCGCCCUUUGGUAUUCCAAAGGGCAUGCCUGUUCGAGCGUCAUUUGUACCCUCAAGCUUUGCUUGGUGUUGGGCGUCUUGUCUCUAGCUUUGCUGGAGACUCGCCUUAAAGUAAUUGGCAGCCGGCCUACUGGUUUCGGAGCGCAGCACAAGUCGCACUCUCUAUCAGCAAAGGUCUAGCAUCCAUUAAGCCUUUUUUUCAACUUUUGACCUCGGAUCAGGUAGGGAUACCCGCUGAACUUAAGCAUAUCA